UACAGAGGUCUCAAGCGUUGUUCGGAUUCAUUGGGCGUAAAGGGUGCGUAGGCGGCGCGGUAAGUCGGGUGUGAAAUCUCGGAGCUUAACUCCGAAACUGCAUUCGAUACUGCCGUGCUUGAGGACUGGAGAGGAGACUGGAAUUUACGGUGUAGCGGUGAAAUGCGUAGAGAUCCGGAGGAACACCAGAGGCGAAGGCGGCCGGCUGGACCUGACCUGACGCUGAGGCACGAAGGCGUGGGGGAGCGAACGGG
rnacentral:rRNA from 1 species